rnacentral:lncRNA from 1 species
GGUAAAAAUAGAUAAGUGUCCGACAGUAGAAUUAGGGGUACAAGAUACCCACCUGAGAGGAAAGAAAAAUAAAAUGUAGAGCAUCUCAUUCUCCUCAAAAAGUUUCAAAAGAGCAAGAAAGGUAUGUAUCCCCUCAAAAGAGCACAAGUAGAAUUAGACUUUCACCAUUGUUAUCACCAUACACCAUUCAUUCGCCACACAUGCACAUCUUGAUUUGACUUAUUGACUUGUUUCUUUGGAUCCAUGGUUUGACUAUACAAUAAAUGUCUUGUAAGUAUGUAUACUUUAUCUCUACCU